ensembl:misc_RNA Y_RNA Y RNA
GGCUGGUCUGAGAGCAGUGGUAUUUACAACUAAUUGAUCACAACCAGUUACAGAUUGCUUUAUUCCUUCUCCACUCCCACUGCUUUACUUGACUAGACUUAA